rnacentral:rRNA from 1 species
UACGUAGGGGGCAAGCGUUGUCCGGAUUUAUUGGGCGUAAAGAGCGUGUAGGCGGUUUGGUAGGUCCGCUGUGAAAACUCGAGGCUCAACCUCGAGACGCCGGUGGAAACCAUCAGACUAGAGUCCGGAAGAGGAGAGUGGAAUUCCUGGUGUAGCGGUGAAAUGCGCAGAUAUCAGGAGGAACACCAAUAGCGAAGGCAGCUCGCUGGGACGUUACUGACACUGAGGCGCGAAAGCGUGGGGAGCGAACAGG